GGGAACAAAGGAACAAGAAAAAUUUUGCUUAGAAACUCAGUAGACCAGAAAGAGAAUAGAAAAUUAUCAUGAAAAAAGAGCUUUUCAUGUUGACUAUAGCUGCUGUAAAACUGCUAUCUGGUAUAGGUCAAAUUAGUUAUAAAGAAGUGUGUAGGAAGACACAACUUUUCAGUAAAUUGCAUUAGAAACUAAGCAGGUGGGUAGGUCUGUGUGCUGUUAUGCAAGCUGGGAUUUAGCUGUCGACUUUGAAAAAGCUUAGAAUGGCUAGACCUUCCAAUUACUUUUUCCCGGGUAAUUCCUUCAUGUUUAUCUGUAUGAAGUCCAAGAAGGGCGCUGCUGGAAUCUCAAAUUUGUAUCCGGCCCAUCAGAAGCACAGAUCAUUAACUGCAUCUGAAGGAAACUGAAGAGAGGUCCUAAUUACUGAAAGCAAGUUAUAGGAAGAUUAAUCUGGCAAUUGUGGGCAGAAGAUUAUGGAAAAGUUUCCAAGAUCACCUGGGAACUCUUAAAGCUACUGGAAAUGUGUAACAAAGGUCGACAUCUUGGCAAAGGAAGACAUGUCAAAGAUACUAAGAAAUAAACAACAGGAUAACCCAUGAUGUUGCGAGUAUCAGAACACGGUGGAACUAUGCCAACAGGACACAGCAUCAUGCUACCUGUUUCCCAUUAUUAUGUCCCAACACACAUAUUAUUCAUUUCCUCAUUUAAUUAGCCCUGAUUAAGUGCUAGUCUUUGUGGAGUUUCCCAAGUUGCAUAAAAUUAGACUUGCCCUCACAAAGCUCAUUAUCAUCACCAUCAUUAGUUAGAUCCUUAGUGUCAGCUACUGUACUCACACCAAUCUUGAAAAUGGGUAUUAUAAUUACCACUACUUUAAAAAAAGAGGUAACUGAGGUACAAUAAGGUUGAACACUUCACAGUAACACAACAGAUUAGUGACAGAAUGGGAUGAAAGCAUGCCUUAUCCUCUAGAAUUCAUUCUUUUAAAUAACUUGGAGCUUGUCUGUGUCUACACAACAUUAUACUGUAAGGAAAGAAGUAAUAAUGACUGAAAGAGAAGUAUAGAUAAAGCAUUUUGAUGCAAUUUCAGAAAAGAUAUUAAUUUUUAGAAGAGCAAGGUAAGCAAAUAUUUUGUGAAGAAGAUGUUUUGAUUCAUAUCUCUAAGAUAAAAAGGUCUCAACUGUGAAAGUUAAAUAGA